CGCUGGCGGCGUGCUAAUACAUGCAAGUAGAACGCUGAAGGAGGAGCUUGCUUCUCCGGAUGAGUUGCGAACGGGUGAGUAACGCGUAGGUAACCUGCCUGGUAGCGGGGGAUAACUAUUGGAAACGAUAGCUAAUACCGCAUAAGAGUAGAUGUUGCAUGACAUUUGCUUAAAAGGUGCAAUUGCAUCACUACCAGAUGGACCUGCGUUGUAUUAGCUAGUUGGUGGGGUAACGGCUCACCAAGGCGACGAUACAUAGCCGACCUGAGAGGGUGAUCGGCCACACUGGGACUGAGACACGGCCCAGACUCCUACGGGAGGCAGCAGUAGGGAAUCUUCGGCAAUGGACGGAAGUCUGACCGAGCAACGCCGCGUGAGUGAAGAAGGUUUUCGGAUCGUAAAGCUCUGUUGUAAGAGAAGAACGAGUGUGAGAGUGGAAAGUUCACACUGUGACGGUAUCUUACCAGAAAGGGACGGCUAACUACGUGCCAGCAGCCGCGGUAAUACGUAGGUCCCGAGCGUUGUCCGGAUUUAUUGGGCGUAAAGCGAGCGCAGGCGGUUAGAUAAGUCUGAAGUUAAAGGCUGUGGCUUAACCAUAGUACGCUUUGGAAACUGUUUAACUUGAGUGCAAGAGGGGAGAGUGGAAUUCCAUGUGUAGCGGUGAAAUGCGUAGAUAUAUGGAGGAACACCGGUGGCGAAAGCGGCUCUCUGGCUUGUAACUGACGCUGAGGCUCGAAAGCGUGGGGAGCAAACAGG
rnacentral:rRNA from 1 species